AGUGAACGCUGGCGGUAGGCCUAACACAUGCAAGUCGAACGGCGGCACAGUAAGAGCUUGCCCUUACGGGUGGCGAGUGGCGGACGGGUGAGGAAUACAUCGGAAUCUACUUUUUCGUGGGGGAUAACGUAGGGAAACUUACGCUAAUACCGCAUACGACCUACGGGUGAAAGCAGGGGAUCUUCGGACCUUGCGCGAUUGAAUGAGCCGAUGUCGGAUUAGCUAGUUGGCGGGGUAAAGGCCCACCAAGGCGACGAUCCGUAGCUGGUCUGAGAGGAUGAUCAGCCACACGGGAACUGAGAAACGGUCCAGACUCCUACGGGAGGCAGCAGUGGGGAAUAUUGGACGAUGGGCGCAAGCCUGAUCCAGCCAUACCGCGUGGGUGAAGAAGGCCUUCGGGUUGUAAAGCCCUUUUGUUGGGAAAGAAAAGCAGCAGGUUAAUACCCCGCUGUUCUGACGGUACCCAAAGAAUAAGCACCGGCUAACUUCGUG
rnacentral:rRNA from 1 species